AUGCCAGACAAUAGCAGAUAGCAAUGCCAGAAGAAGUAAAACACAGAAUGCCAAUAUUGUCAAAAGUAAAAGGUAAAGUAUAAAGUAUACUAUAGACAGCAGAUUCUCAUGCGAAGUGGGUACACGCAUUACCACAAAAUGAAGAAACAAGAUCACCACAACAGAAAGAUAAUAAGAAGAGAACUGAGAGCUUAUAUGAAGUGCUCAAACCAGCGAAGCUGAGAAGCUGAGAAUCCCUCCUGCGCGGCCCACAUAGCCAAGAUAACCAGGAUAACGUUAAUGAAAAGAGCAACAUAAAACAUAAAAUUGAGCAGGUCAAUCAAUGGCGCUAACGUCAGACAUUGUAUACAAUACAUAAUAUAUUCCUAUCACGUCAAUUAAUGGGAAAAGUACUAAAUCUUCAAAGAAGGGAAGAUCAGCUGGGAAUAAAAGCAAAAGAAGAAAUAGAUGGAACAUUUCACGCAACCACGACCUCAAAUUCGUUUAAUAAGCAAAGAUGGUGGAGAAACAAUCAAAUCAUCAAAUGAAGGCAAAAACCCUACGCCAGCCAACAGAAGUGGAGGCAAAACGUAACGAUUAAUAGGAGAGGAAAAUACCCACCUGACAUAAUAUGAGGAGCAACAUGAAACGUAA